rnacentral:lncRNA from 1 species
CUUAUAUUGAUAUGUGUUCCAGUCUUGGCCAUGUAUGGUUUUAUGUCUUUGUUUUGUUUUCUAAGUUGUCUCUUUUUUUGGCUCUCCCACAGCAUACGGAGUUCCUGAGCCAUGGAUCCGCUCCAAGCCACAGCUGUGACCGACACUAAAGCUGUGGCAAUGCUGGAUCCUUUAACCACUGUGCCAACUGGGGAUUGAACCUGCAUCCUGGUACUGCAGAGAUGCUAUCAAUUCUUUGUGCCACAGUGAGAACUCCUGCUUUCUAAAUUGUCUUUAAGCUAUUUGUUAAUUCUAUGGAACCAGACUAUUCAAACUCUCCACCAAAUCUUCAAUCCACCAACAGCAUCAGAUGGAAUUCCUGAGUCCUGCUUCAGCCAUAGAAGAAAGCUCCCUGAGACCAGGGCACUGCUCAGCAAUGCAUGGCCAGUCACAGGAAGAACCACACCUGGGUACCUUCACAUCAUGGAUUUUCCAGGGUCCACACCGUCCGGCUGACACGACGGCUCAUGACAAAUUCGGCCACUCAUAUCCCCAGGAUAAUUCCUGUUGAGGCAGAUGAGCCCCUGAGUCCCUGGAAGAGAAGGACCGAGUGGAGGAGGCACGUCCACAAAGAAGUGUGGUGAAAAGAACGCUGGCUCCACAUUAAAAAGGAUGAAACGGUGCCAUUUGCAGCAACAUGGAUGGACCUAGAAAUGAUCAAGUUUAGUGAAGUAAGCCAGACAAAGACAAAUACUAUAUGCUAUGGCUUAUAUGUGGAGUCUAAAAAAUAAUACGAGUGAACCAGUAUGCAAAACAGAAAUAGACUCACAGAUAUAAAAAACAAACUUAUGUUACCAAAGGGGAAAGGGAAGGAGGAAGAGGGAACUGGGAGCAUGGGAUUCACAGAUACAAACUACUAUACAUAAAACAGAUAAGCGACAGGAUUUACUGCACAGCUCAGAGAACUAUAUUCAAUAUCUUUUAAUAACCUACAAUGGAAAAUCAUCUAAAAUAACAUAUAAAUAACUGAAUCAUUUUUCCGUACACCUGAACUAACACAAUAUUGUAAAACAACUAUAUUUCAGUGAAAGAAAAAAAAAAAAGGAAUUCCCUCUGUGGUGCAACAGGAUCUGCAGCAUCCUGGGAGCACUGGGACGCAGAUUCGAUCCCCUGCCCAGCACAGUAGGUUAAGGAUCUGGCGUUGUGGCAGCUGCGGCUUGGGUCAUAACUGCGCCUCGGGUCUGAUUCCUGGCCUGAGAACUCCACAUGCUGUGGGGCAGUCAGACUGCCUUGGCUUCUAUCUCAGCUCCAGUUCCACCCUUACAGGAAGCAUGAUCUUGGGUCCUUAAAUUCACUAUGUUUCCUUUUCUUCAAGGAUAAAAUAAUGAUAAUAUCACUUACCUGC